ACCAAAACAGCCGCUAUCAGUGAGACUCCUUCACUCUGGGACCCAGUGCAGACAAAGACCUGCUCGAUCGGGGGCUGCCCGGCUCUGGCAAGCUCGCUGUGGUACAGCCUCUGAGUGGUCACCAAAGCCUAUGCCCUACACACAGCCAGGCCCCCUGCCCGCGUCCCUCGCCAUUCGUGUGACCACAGGCUUGAGCUCAUUAGCAGCAUGGGAAGUGAUGUGUGUCCUGUCCAGGCCUGGCCAACAAGAAAGCUUCCUGAGAAGUUCUCUCUCUCUCUCUCCCCUUCCCCAUCUGCCAAAUGCAAAGGAGCCGGCAGCAGACCCCAAGUGCACAAGCGAUGACGGAGCCACGAGAUUUGCAGGGCUGCUGACCCAAUGCUUGCACUGAACUGCUUGCUAUGUGGUUGAGAAAGUUGCCAGAAUCCUAGCAAAUGGAAUGAAUGCACGAACCUAGCGCUGACAUGCUCGGCACGUUUGGGACUGAGAGCCUGAACAGCUCCGUCCACGCCUUCCUCACCAGCUCCUGGCCUGACCACUGCAGACGUCACCGCUCUGAACUUCCACAAGCCGCAUACAGGCCUUUGCCCUCUGGCGAGGUCACACCACGGCUGAGGGGAUGGAGCACGACCUUGGGGCCAGGGGUCAGGCAGACCUGAACGUCUGACCAUAGUUAAUUUGCCACAGAUCUGUGUUGAUCCUGCAGGAGUUAUCUAACCUCCCUGAGCCCAUUUCCUCUCCCAUAAAAUAAGGGCAGUAAUGCCUUGCAGAGCGUUAGGAGAAAGAAGUCGUGUCCAGCACCUCAGAGACGGAGGCUGCUGGGGAACUGGGACGGAACACAGCUCUGGGACAGAACACAGCACUGGGAGGAGAUAGGGCUUAGGAAUCAGGCAGAUCUGAGUUCAGCUCUUUCUCCUCUGUUUAGCUGCAUCUUCUUAAAAGAGACAUUGAAACGGAAGGCUCCACUCCCUAGUAUUUAGGAGGUUUUCAUCUCACAAGCCUAGCAAAUUGGAUACCACAAUAAUUAAAAGCACAAUGUAGCAUCGUG